GACGAACGCUGGCGGCGUGCCUAACACAUGCAAGUCGAACGGGGUAACUCCUUCGGGGGUUACUUAGUGGCAAACGGGUGAGUAACGCGUGAGGAACCUGCCUCUCAGUGGGGGACUACAGUUGGAAACGACUGCUAAUACCGCAUAAUGUAGCGAGACCGCAUGAUCUUGCUACCAAAGCUUUAUGUGCUGAGAGAUGGCCUCGCGUCUGAUUAGCUAGUUGGUGAGGUAACGGCUCACCAAGGCGACGAUCAGUAGCCGGUCUGAGAGGAUGAACGGCCACAUUGGGACUGAGAUACGGCCCAGACUCCUACGGGAGGCAGCAGUGGGGAAUAUUGGGCAAUGGGGGAAACCCUGACCCAGCAACGCCGCGUGAAGGAAGAAGGCCCUCGGGUUGUAAACUUCUUUUACCAGGGACGAAGAACGUGACGGUACCUGGAGAAAAAGCCACGGCUAACUACGUGCCAGCAGCCGCCGUAAUAC
rnacentral:rRNA from 1 species